rnacentral:rRNA from 1 species
GACGAACGCUGGCGGCGUGCUUAAUACAUGCAAGUCGAACGGAAAGGCCCUGCUUGCAGGGUACUCGAGUGGCGAACGGGUGAGUAACACGCGGGUGAAUUGCCCUCCACUUCGGGAUAAGCCAGGUAAACUGGGUCUAAUACAGGACAGGAGCUAUUUUUAGCGUGAUGGUUGGAAAGUUUUUUCGGUGUAGGAUGAGAUCGAGGCCUAUCAGCUUGUUGGUGGGGUAAUGGCCUACCAAGGCGGCGGCGGGUAGCCGGCCUGAGAGGGUGGACGGCCACAUUGGGACUGAGAUACGGCCCAGACUCCUACGGGAGGCAGCUGGGGGGAAUAUUGCACAAGGGGCGCAAGCCUGAUGCAGCGACGCCGCGGGGGGGAUGACGGCCUUCUGGUUGUAAACUCCUUUCGCUAGUGACGAAGCUUGUUGUGACGGUACCUAGAUAAGAAGCACCGGCUAACUACGUG